CUUCUUUCACACAACAUUUGUUGGAAUAGCUGAUGAUUUUCCAACUGCAGUUCCCGAAAAGUAUUUCGCGGACUUCUCUGAUAUUCUUGGUGGAAAUCUGGAUCAUAGCUGUUUGGUUGACGUGGUUGGCCAAAUAGUUAACUUCGGGUCUCUGGAAAACAA